rnacentral:rRNA from 1 species
AUUGAACGCUGGCGGCAUGCUUUACACAUGCAAGUCGAACGGUAACAGGCCUUCGGGUGCUGACGAGUGGCGAACGGGUGAGUAAUGCAUCGGAACGUACCCAGAGGUGGGGGAUAACGCAGCGAAAGCUGUGCUAAUACCGCAUGUGAUCUGAGGAUGAAAGCGGGGGACCGAGCAGCAAUGUUUGGCCUCGCGCCUUUGGAGCGGCCGAUGUCGGAUUAGCUAGUUGGUGGGGUGAAGGCCUACCAAGGCGACGAUCCGUAGCUGGUCUGAGAGGACGACCAGCCACACUGGGACUGAGACACGGCCCAGACUCCUACGGGAGGCAGCAGUGGGGAAUUUUGGACAAUGGGCGCAAGCCUGAUCCAGCAAUGCCGCGUGCGGGAAGAAGGCCUUCGGGUUGUAAACCGCUUUUGGCAGGAACGAAACGGUGUCCGCUAAUACCGGGCGCUAAUGACGGUACCUGCAGAAUAAGCACCGGCUAACUACGUG